rnacentral:rRNA from 1 species
GACAGAGGAUGCAAGCGUUAUCCGGAAUGAUUGGGCGUAAAGCGUCUGUAGGUGGCUUUUUAAGUCCGCCGUCAAAUCCCAGGGCUCAACCCUGGACAGGCGGUGGAAACUACCAAGCUGGAGUACGGUAGGGGCAGAGGGAAUUUCCGGUGGAGCGGUGAAAUGCGUAGAGAUCGGAAAGAACACCAACAGCGAAGCAACUCUGCUGGGCCGACACUGACACUGAGAGACGAAAGCUAGGGGAGCGAAUGGG